rnacentral:lncRNA from 1 species
AUGCAGCUGCAUUUGGAAGACGUUACACAGAUAUGUGGCUUCAACUGCGUUGUGUGGUAUGAGGGAUCAUUAAAGAUGUUUUAUUUCUCCAGGAUAGACCGUGAUCCAGGAAGGAAUCUUCCCAGUGAGGUAAGAUUUAAUAACUGUACAGCAUCGGAGGCUCGCUUGCUAUCACACAGGCUGGUAAAUGCAGUGCCACCCUCAGGCACGGCUGCAAAAUUCUCUCUUCAGAAAGGCGGUGGACAAACUGGAUAGAUCUGCUGUGUUUCUGCCUGCCAGGCGAGGAUGUCUCGAGGAGGAAGGCAAGUGAACUAUGAGUUAGGACAGCAGGGCUGGGAGAGCUGUCAAGUUCAACACGGCAUAUGGCUUAAAAUGGGAGCUUUGGGGAGCUUUGGUAUUUAUGAAUCAGCGUAAUUUGAUUAUGCUACUGUAGAAGUCCAUUCCUUUCCUUCCUAGCAGUAGUUUAAAAACAAUUGCUUAUCAUAUGAUAUCUUUGAGUACCAGUUCAGGAAUGCCACGAGGCACCACUAAAGCACAACAUCUUGUUGCUGAGUUAUCACAUAAGGAUGACAUAACCAAGAGCACUGGAUGUAAAGUGAACGCGAGAUGUUUCAGGAUGCAAGGCAGUGGCGUCUAAUUGGAUCAGAGAAAAUUCAGCUUAGAUGUGAACAAAAAACAUUUUUACUUUGAGUGUGGUCAAACACUGGAACAGAUUACCUAGGGAGACUGUGGAAUAAAAAAUAUUCUAAUCUGGGUUAGAAACA